rnacentral:misc_RNA from 1 species
GGCAGACAGCUGAGCACCUACGACAAGCAAUAUGUAACUACUCGAGGGAUGAGAUCUCAACAGUCAUGUGUAUGGGACACAAUAGAGGAUGGGAGGAGGCAGCCUCAGUGUUGUCAGGUGCUACUGUAGAACUAAAGACUUGUAAUGGUGCUUUGCUUGAAGCCACUGGGAAGUCGUGGGAAGAGGCAUUUUCUCUGGCUGGACCUGGAGGGUGGAAGCUUCAAGGGCUUGUGAAGCCAGACACUGCUGUUUAGUCAUGUCAGCUUAAGGAGCAUAUAAUCAGCCAUUUGACACACUAAAAGCCCAGAAAAAGCUGGAUUGAAGCAGAGCG